GCGGCCAUCGCAAGGUAUCCUUGCCCCGCCGUUGAUGCCAUCGGUGUCCAAGACCUCAUGACCUCGGCAAGUGGCGCAUAUGGGAUCACCAGGGUCUAUGGGGCUUCAUCGAAGGUGCUGCCAAACCUAGGGAUCGCCGGAGUCGCAUGGAUUGCUCACCAAAGUUCUUCUCAGCCGCCGAGCCGCUCCACGCGUGGGCGGGGGCAUUGUCACCCUAAAUCCGCGGUAAGGGCA
rnacentral:lncRNA from 7 species